rnacentral:rRNA from 1 species
CCUACGGGAGGCAGCAGUGGGGAAUCUUGCGCAAUGGGCGAAAGCCUGACGCAGCCAUGCCGCGUGAAUGAUGAAGGUCUUAGGAUUGUAAAAUUCUUUCACCGGGGACGAUAAUGACGGUACCCGGAGAAGAAGCCCCGGCUAACUUCGUGCCAGCAGCCGCGGUAAUACGAAGGGGGCUAGCGUUGCUCGGAAUUACUGGGCGUAAAGGGAGCGUAGGCGGAUAGUUUAGUCAGAGGUGAAAGCCCAGGGCUCAACCUUGGAAUUGCCUUUGAUACUGGCUAUCUUGAGUAUGGGAGAGGUAUGCGGAACUCCGAGUGUAGAGGUGAAAUUCGUAGAUAUUCGGAAGAACACCAGUGGCGAAGGCGGCAUACUGGCCCAUUACUGACGCUGAGGCUCGAAAGCGUGGGGAGCAAACAGGAUUAGAUACCCUGGUAGUCCACGCUGUAAACGAUGAGUGCUAGUUGUCGGCAUGCAUGCAUGUCGGUGACGCAGCUACGCAUAAGACACUCCGCCGUCGGGAGGUACGGUCGCGAAGUAAGUUAAACGUUAACGAAAGUAAAGUUAGUUACGGCGUUGAGACGUGCCGACGGACGACGACGAGGGAGGAGG